UACGUAGGGUGCAAGCGUUAAUCGGAAUUACUGGGCGUAAAGCGUGCGCAGGCGGUUUUGUAAGUCUGUCGUGAAAGCCCCGGGCUCAACCUGGGAAUUGCGAUGGAGACUGCAAGGCUUGAAUCUGGCAGAGGGGGGUAGAAUUCCACGUGUAGCAGUGAAAUGCUUAGAGAUGUGGAGGAACACCGAUGGCGAAGGCAGC
rnacentral:rRNA from 1 species